GCAUUAGUGGUUCAGUGGUAGAAUUCUUGCCUUCCAUGUGGUAGAUCCAGGUUCAAUUCCCAGUGAAUGCA
rnacentral:tRNA from 1 species